rnacentral:rRNA from 1 species
AUUGAACGCUGGCGGAAUGCUUUACACAUGCAAGUCGAGCGGCAGCGCGGGGGCAACCCUGGCGGCGAGCGGCGAACGGGUGAGUAACACAUCGGAACGUACCCUAUCGUGGGGAUAGCUCGGCGAAAGCCGGAUUAAUACCGCAUAAGACCUGAGGGUGAAAGCGGGGGAUCGCAAGACCUCGCGCGAUUGGAGCGGCCGAUGUCGGAUUAGCUAGUUGGUGAGGUAAAGGCUCACCAAGGCGACGAUCCGUAGCUGGUCUGAGAGGACGACCAGCCACACUGGAACUGAGACACGGUCCAGACUCCUACGGGAGGCAGCAGUGGGGAAUUUUGGACAAUGGGGGAAACCCUGAUCCAGCCAUUCCGCGUGAGUGAAGAAGGCCUUCGGGUUGUAAAGCUCUUUCGGCAGGAACGAAACGGUGGAGGCUAAUACCUUCCAUCAAUGACGGUACCUGAAGAAGAAGCUCCGGCUAACUACGUGCCAGCAGCCGCGGUAAUACGUAGGGUGCGAGCGUUGAUCGGAAUUACUGGGCGUAAAGCGUGCGCAGGCGGCUUUGUAAGACAGGUGUGAAAUCCCCGGGCUUAACCUGGGAACUGCGCUUGUGACUGCAAGGCUUGAGUGCGGCAGAGGGGGGUGGAAUUCCACGUGUAGCAGUGAAAUGCGUAGAGAUGUGGAGGAACACCGAUGGCGAAGGCAGCCCCCUGGGUCGACACUGACGCUCAUGCACGAAAGCGUGGGUAGCAAACAGGAUUAGAUACCCUGGUAGUCCACGCCCUAAACGAUGCCAACUAGGUGUUGGGGAAGGAGACUUCCUUAGUACCGUAGCUAACGCGUGAAGUUGGCCGCCUGGGGAGUACGGUCGNCAGAUUA